GACGAACGCUGGCGGCGUGCUUAACACAUGCAAGUCGAACGGAAAGGCCCUGCUUUUGUGGGGUGCUCGAGUGGCGAACGGGUGAGUAACACGUGAGUAACCUGCCCUUGACUUUGGGAUAACUUCAGGAAACUGGGGCUAAUACCGGAUAGGAGCUCCUGCUGCAUGGUGGGGGUUGGAAAGUUUCGGCGGUUGGGGAUGGACUCGCGGCUUAUCAGCUUGUUGGUGGGGUAGUGGCUUACCAAGGCUUUGACGGGUAGCCGGCCUGAGAGGGUGACCGGCCAAAUUGGGACUGAGAUACGGCCCAGACUCCUACGGGAGGCAGCAGUGGGGAAUAUUGCACAAUGGGCGGAAGCCUGAUGCAGCAACGCCGCGUGCGGGAGGACGGCCUUCGGGUUGUAACCCGCUUUCGCCUGUGACGAAGCGUGAGUGACGGUAAUGGGUAAAGAAGCACCGGCUAACUA
rnacentral:rRNA from 1 species